rnacentral:rRNA from 1 species
GAUCCUGGCUCAGGAUGAACGCUAGCGACAGGCUUAACACAUGCAAGUCGAGGGGCAUCAUGAGGUAGCAAUACUCCGCCGGCGACCGGCGCACGGGUGCGUAACGCGUAUGCAACCUACCUUUAACAGGGGCAUAACACUGAGAAAUUGGUACUAAUUCCCCAUAACAUUCGAGAAGGCAUCUUCUUGGGUUAAAAACUCCGGUGGUUAAAGAUGGGCAUGCGUUGUAUUAGCUAGUUGGUGAGG